rnacentral:rRNA from 1 species
UACAGAGGUGGCAAGCGUUGUUCGGAAUUACUGGGCGUAAAGGGCGUGUAGGCGGUCUUCUAAGUCAGACGUGAAAUCCCCCGGCUUAACCUGGGAACUGCGUCUGAUACUGGGAGGCUUGAGUAUGGGAGAGGGAUGUAGAAUUCCAGGUGUAGCGGUGAAAUGCGUAGAUAUCUGGAGGAAUACCGGUGGCGAAGGCGGCAUCCUGGACCUUACUGACGCUGAGGUGCGAAAGCGUGGGGAGCGAACGAGG